rnacentral:misc_RNA from 1 species
AACCUUUGCUGUCUUGGGACGGAUCACCGCUGCAAGAGGGGAAGUUGCUACUGUGAUGAAUUCUGCCAUGUGGCACCAGACUGCCACCCAGACCACAGUGUCCUCUGCAACCCUGGUAACUCACAUACAGGCCCGAUUCCACCUACAGCAAAGCUGGAUGCGAUGGCUGGCAGAGGCAAACCCUUUGCCUGCACUUCAGGCCAAAGCCGGGAUGUGGCCUAGAUGGUUCCUAAGGUCCCUGACAAUCCUGAGAUCUUGCAUCUUGUCUAUUUCAGGUCAAAGCUUCUCAGAUGACCAAGAUGGUGCUGCAGAUGGUGCUGAGGAUGGAGAACCCACCAAGCCCCGCUAGGAGCCACCUAGACUGGAUGCAGAGCAUGGCCCCAGCACCCGCAGAGCAGACACUGCGAUGACAACGGACGACACAGAAGUGCCCGCUAUGACUCUAGCACCGGGCCACGCCGCUCUGGAAACUCAAACACUGAGCGCUGAGACCUCUUCUAGGGCCUCAACCCCAGCCGGCCCCGUUCCAGAAGCAGAGACCAGGGGAUCCAAGAGAAUUUCCCCUGCAAGAGAGACCAGGAGUUUCACAAAAACAUCUCCCAACUUCAUGGUGCUGAUCGCCACCUCCGUGGAGACAUCAGCCGCCAGUGGCAGCCCCGAGGGAGCUGGAAUGACCACAGUUCAGACCAUCACAGGCAGUGAUCCCGAGGAAGCCAUCUUUGACACCC